ACUAGCCUAGCUCAGAUGGUAGAGAAUGAGACUCAUAAUCUCAGGGUUGUGGGUUUGAGCCCCACGUCGCAUAAAGGG